ensembl:lncRNA
GGACAAUCAAAGCAGUGUGUAUUGCUGUUAUCAGUUACAUACCUUGUGGGAACAUGGAGAUCAUUUUUCACUUCGGCCAAGGAUAAGUGCUCACUAACACAGAUUUCGACAGUAUGUCAAACCUCUGCGCUUCCUUCCCUCGUAAGUCCGUAGUCGUGACAAAUUGUCAAUAACAUAUGCGGUCAUUCAUCCUUUGUCGCUGAGAGAAUCAGUUCAGAUUGCCACCCCCAGUACAGGAACCACAUGGACAAGAGCCACUGGGACAGGAAACCGAUUACAACACCGGCGGAGCAAGCACACAGCCCACUGGCAAACUCCAGUGAAGAGAACAGCAGAUAAAUCCUGGUUCCUGACUCAGCAUGAAACAAACCAGAGGGUCACCACAGCCACCACCACCGUAACAACUACAGCUUAAGGGAUCUUCAAAUGUACCAGUAACAUCAUAAUGGACACAUAAUGUAGACCAUUACACUGGACUACACUCUGGAAUUGUUCAACCAUACAACUGUUGGACUUUUUUUUUUUAUUUAUUGGACAAAUCAUCAGAAACCCUGAUCUGACACCAUUUGCAGGCUCACUCUACCCUGGAAGGGGGUCCCUCUCUGUAUCACUCCUUCUGUUUCACAGGGUUUCUUCUUUUCUUUUUAUCUCUCGCCUACAGUUUUUUUUGUGUGAAGAUUUUCCUUGUGUGCAGAAGGGUCAAGUGUGGGG